rnacentral:lncRNA from 1 species
CUGAAAAGUUCAGUAAUGGCGCUGCCGCCAUAAUGGCUAUCUUUGUAGUUAUUCGGCUGUCAGGGACAAUCUUGCCGCUAUUUAUGUGUCUGGUUGUAACUAUGUGUCUUCAAAAAGACUACUAAGCACUACUGUUGAGAAAAUAUAAAGGAACAGAAGCAUUAUGAACCGCAAGGUACGAAAAUAUUUGGACUUAUGCACCUAUCAAUGUUUUCCCCCUGAGGGGGGGGUGCGGGCAACCCACGGGAAUUUUGACAUUUUUAAAAUUUUGUUGUCAAAAUCCCCACUGUUGGGCAAGGAAUGGCUGUCAAAAUUCCCCACUAUAUUCCUAAGAUAACAAGGCACACACACGUUUUCCAAUGCGAACAUACAGUCUAUACUGGUUUAAACUUGGUAAAAAUUGAGACACUGUGUAUAAAAGGCUAUAAAAUACCUUUUUCGAUGAAACUUGAUCGUGCUUCUCCGCCAUACUUGUUACCAGGCCUUUCAAUGUCAAAACCGCGCAAACUUUCAAGAUGGCGGAUGUCAAAAUUUCCCGACUCUGGGAGUUGAUGCGUAGGUCAAAUUCCCCUCACUGGGGCUUCAUAGUGUGGUCAAAGUCCCCUGGGUCGCCCGCACCCCCCCCCUCAGGGGGAAAACAAUGAUAGGUGCAUUAUGCAGCGUCAGAAGUUGAUCCUGAAAUUGCAACAUGAUUCAAGUUGCUGGAUGAUGUCCUAUAUUUUAGCAAAUGUUUAUUAAAUAGCAGCUAAAUACAGUUUUUGGUGUCAAACAAAUCAGUUAUUUUAACCACAUAGAAAGAAAAUGUCUAAAUUACUCUGCUUUAUAAUACUAAUUCCCCAAGGACUAAUGGUUGGGAACCUGGUUGGCAGCUACCAGUCAUGGUGGUAAGCCGGGUUGGUGGGUACCAUAAUGUGAGUCACAGAUGUAUGCGUUUAUAUCCGAUUUGGUCAUGAAGGAUUAUUAAUGGAUUUAUAAUAUAUUCCUUAUCUAAAUGAAAAAGGUCGGUAAAAGCCAUGAUGAUUGGUAGCUCUUGCAAGAAGCUGGUCCGCGGUUGAAGGUUGCUUGGGAAACAAGGGAUGCGGCAAGACGACUUUAGGGAAGAUGGUUGCUUGCAUUACUGUUGCAGUAGCUGGUAGAUAUAUAGCAUUAUAGCAGCUACUCAUCAAGUGUGAGAAUGAUAAACCUUAAAUUAUGUACUUAAGUUCAGUUUUUUGUGACAACCCUAUAAAUAGUGAGCAAGAUGCAAUAACGUACUUUGAUAUAUACACUCUAGUCGCUAUUCAUUUUCCCAUUUUGUUAUAGUUCUAUGUUGUUUCAAGUCUAAUAUAGAUCAUGAUUAUUUAUUGGAACCCUGUAGGAAAGGGGUGGACUAUUUUGGACCAUUUUGUGUGCUCUACACACCAGCUUAAUACUUCAAAACAUUUGUUUAUGUUUGACCUUGAUUUUCUCAAAACGAACGAUAUCUGAAUAAUCGAGUUUGUGGAAAAUCUAAAAAAUAGAGGAUUUAAUAUUUUCCCUUCAUUUUUGGACUAUAGGUGUAUCUUGUGACCUUUUAUGGGUUAAGUAGACAGUUUUUUCAAAAUAGGCAGUUUCGCAUUAGUUACCAUGGAAACAGUGUUUUUUUCAGCUUUCGGACAUAACAGUUUGGCCAAAAAAAAUUCUGUCUACUUAACCUGUACAUUUGGAUAUAAGAAGCAGCCAUACAAAAUUUGGAGUUAGUAUCUUUUUCCCUUCAGGAGUUAUUGUUUCCACAAGUAUUUGUUUAUAUCGUAGUUUUUUGUCGUUGUCAUGGAAACCAUGAAGCACGGUCAAUCGACAAUAGUCUGAAAAUUUGUAUAUUUAUAAGAUCUAGCUUUGUGCCAAAUUUUAUGAUAAUUAAUUAAAAUGUUAUGAAACUAGAGCAAAAAUUCUGUUUUGGGCAAUUUAGGA